UACGUAGGGGGGCAAGCGUUGUCCGGAUUUAUUGGGCGUAAAGAGCGUGUAGGCGGCCUGACAGGUCUGCUGUGAAAACUCGAGGCUCAACCUCGAGAUGUCGGCGGAAACCGUCUGGCUAGAGUCCGGAAGAGGAGAGUGGAAUUCCUGGUGUAGCGGUGAAAUGCGCAGAUAUCAGGAAGAACACCUAUGGCGAAGGCAGGUCUCUGGGCCACUACUGACGCUGAGAAGCGAAAGCAUGGGGAGCGAACAGG
rnacentral:rRNA from 1 species